UACGAGGGGGGCAAGCGUUGUUCGGAAUUAUUGGGCGUAAAGGGUGCGUAGGCGGUUCGGUAAGUCACCAGUGAAAUCUAUGGGCUCAACCCAUAGUCUGCUGGCGAAACUGCCGGGCUUGAGUAUGGGAGAGGUGAGUGGAAUUUCCGGUGUAGCGGUGAAAUGCGUAGAUAUCGGAAGGAACACCUGUGGCGAAAGCGGCUCACUGGACCAUAACUGACGCUGAGGCACGAAAGCUAGGGGAGCAAACAGG
rnacentral:rRNA from 1 species